GCGGGAGUAGCUCAGCCGGUAGAGCAUCAGCCUUCCAAGCUGAGGGCCGCGGGUUCGAAUCCCGUCUCCCGCUCCA
rnacentral:tRNA from 1 species